rnacentral:rRNA from 1 species
CCUACGGGCGGCAGCAGUGAGGAAUAUUGGUCAAUGGACGCGAGCCUGAACCAGCCAAGUAGCGUGAAGGAUGACUGCCCUAUGGGUUGUAAACUUCUUUUAUAAAGGAAUAUAAUAAGGCACGUAUACCUUUUUGUAUGUACUUUAUGAAUAAGGAUCGGCUAACUCCGUGCCAGCAGCCGCGGUAAUACGGAGGAUCCGAGCGUUAUCCGGAUUUAUUGGGUUUAAAGGGAGCGUAGGUGGGUUGUUAAGUCAGUUGUGAAAGUUUGCGGCUCAACCGUAAAAUUGCAAUUGAUACUGGCAGUCUUGAGUACAGUAGAGGUAGGCGGAAUUCGUGGUGUAGCGGUGAAAUGCUUAGAUAUCACGAAGAACUCCGAUUGCGAAGGCAGCUCACUAGACUGCAACUGACACUGAUGCUCGAAAGUGUGGGUAUCAAACAGGAUUAGAUACCCGAGUAGUC